rnacentral:lncRNA from 1 species
CUGUGAAUGGCUGCGUCUCCCACAGCCCGUCUCCUCUGCUCCGGAGAGCCCAGAUCUCCAUGCAGGGUCAAAAGCAAAGGCAGGGGAAAUGCUGCGUGUGCUUGGUGACAAACACAUCGUUCUCAAAGAAUUAAAGAAUGCAUGUGUAGGAAAUGUUAUCGUAGGGUGGCACUAGUGGCAAGGGGGCACAGUCACGGAUGUCGCUGCCAUCAGGUCUGAGUUGGCCUCUGCACCCUCUGGAAGGAUUGGAAAGCAUAUCUGAAAGGAGUCAGCCCACACUGCUAUGAAGACCCAGUGUGUCACCAUGGAGACCCAGUGUGUCAAAGUUUGUAUGCCUGUAAAAGCUGUGUCACCAGAUGGGGAUCUUAUGCUCAAUCAUGGUGUGUGUAUGAACAUCUGCAGGCAGAAAUAGGAAGCUGCUGCUCAUAACUGAAGUUGCAAAACUUCUGUGAAAGCAUCCACAGGCCAACACGGCAGCUCCACAUGUGAUGUCAUCAGGCCACUAAAGGGAAUGAGAAGGUGCCACAGAGACGGACAGAAGAGAAUAGAAAAGAUAACAGCAAACAGCUACAGAGUUGGUGGCUGGACUUGGCGUUUUUCUGGAAGCUCUGGAAGUCUGAAACCCAGGAGUUUGCAAGGCUGGUACUUGAUGGAGAAUGGGAAAGGGUCCCUGUCCCAUAUUUCUCUCUGGUGUCUGCUGGCUGCUGACAAUCCUAGCACCCCUUUGAUCUGUACCCUCAACAUUCCACCAUCCCUACAUCUGCACUGUGGCCUUCUCUGUGCCAAAGCUUUCUCUUCUCUCCCUUGCAAAUACAACUGUUAAGGCCCACACUUAGCCCAGGAUGACCUCAUCCAGAGACUCUUGGCUUUAGAACAUUGGGAAGAUCCUAUUUCUAAGUGAGUUCAUGUUCACACAUAUUUGGGUUUAGUAUGUGAACAUCUUCUUUUGGAGAGAAACACAGUUCAACCUACUAUGAAGACUCAACAAAUGCCAUUGGGAAAAGCAUGGGCUACUGCUACAACCAAGGAUAGUCACUGUCAGUGGAAGAUGAGGCAACAGCAAUGCAAUCUUAGAGCUUAUUUUAGAGGACAAUGGUCUCAUAGAAAGUCUGUGUUGGACAUAGAGGUACUAAGAAUGGAGGACUCCAACCCUGGCAUUUGAAUGUUUGAGAACUCCUGAGAUAUCCUCCUGAUAGUCUACUCCGCCCACUAACAUCUGUGGAUCCCAGUAGGAAAGACUUUUGUAUGCUGGCUGGUAUUUCAAAUGCUGCAGCUCCUAGCCUGCAGUUCAUGGAGUUGCCCAACAUAGCUCCCCAAAAAGAACUCCCAAAAAGUCCAACAAAACAGACAAAAGCAAGCUAACCCUACCUUGUCCCUCUUUCUUCUUCAAAGUCCUAUGUGGUCUUGUCUUUCUGGGAAUACCACCUGCUGUGAGUUCUCAAUAAACUUUCACUGGUAAAUAUUG